rnacentral:rRNA from 1 species
GAUUCACAUGGAACGAGUGGCGGACGGGUGAGUAACACGUGGGUAACCUGCCCUUAAGUGGGGGAUAACAUUUGGAAACAGAUGCUAAUACCGCAUAGAUCCAAGAACCGCAUGGUUCUUGGCUGAAAGAUGGCGUAAGCUAUCGCUUUUGGAUGGACCCGCGGCGUAUUAGCUAGUUGGUGAGGUAAUGGCUCACCAAGGCGAUGAUACGUAGCCGAACUGAGAGGUUGAUCGGCCACAUUGGGACUGAGACACGGCCCAAACUCCUACGGGAGGCAGCAGUAGGGAAUCUUCCACAAUGGACGCAAGUCUGAUGGAGCAACGCCGCGUGAGUGAAGAAGGCUUUCGGGUCGUAAAACUCUGUUGUUGGAGAAGAAUGGUCGGCAGAGUAACUGUUGUCGGCGUGACGGUAUCCAACCAGAAAGCCACGGCUAACUACGUGCCAGCAGCCGCGGUAAUACGUAGGUGGCAAGCGUUAUCCGGAUUUAUUGGGCGUAAAGCGAGCGCAGGCGGUUUUUUAAGUCUGAUGUGAAAGCCCUCGGCUUAACCGAGGAAGCGCAUCGGAAACUGGGAAACUUGAGUGCAGAAGAGGACAGUGGAACUCCAUGUGUAGCGGUGAAAUGCGUAGAUAUAUGGAAGAACACCAGUGGCGAAGGCGGCUGUCUGGUCUGUAACUGACGCUGAGGCUCGAAAGCAUGGGUAGCGAACAGGAUUAGAUACCCUGGUAGUCCAUGCCGUAAACGAUGAAUG